rnacentral:rRNA from 1 species
UACGGGGGGGGCAAGCGUUGUCCGGAAUCACUGGGCGUAAAGGGCGUGUAGGCGGGAUGGUCAGUUAGAGGUGAAAACCUGCGGCUUAACCGUAGGCCUGCCUUUAAUACUGCCAUUCUUGAGUGCGAGAGGGGAAAGUGGAAUUCUUGGUGUAGCGGUGAAAUGCGUAGAUAUCAAGAAGAACACCGGUAGCGAAGGCUGCUUUCUGGCUCGUAACUGACGCUGAGGCGCGAAAGCGUGGGGAGCAAACAGG